GUGGGGCUCAUUGGCAGAGCGUGUGCCUGGCAUGCUCAAGGCCCUGGGUUUAAUCCCCAGCAC
rnacentral:tRNA from 1 species